AGGAGAGACCUGGGGUAUAUAGGGAGAAGGAUGCUGAGGAUGGAGCCAUAAGGCAGGAGGAGAAGAGGGAGGCCUAAGAGGAGGUUUAUGGAUGUGCUGAGAGAGGAUAUGCAGGUGGAUGGUGUGACAGAAAUCAAUGCAAAGGACAGGUGGAGAUGGAAACCAUU